rnacentral:lncRNA from 1 species
CCGGCCGGCGGCGCCGGCGUGUGGCCGGCAGGCGGCGCUCGGCCCGAAAGUCCGUUUCGCGGCCCCAAAAAUCUCCUUCUCGGCCCCAAAAUCUGCUUCUCGGCCGCAAAAAUCUGUUUCUUGGCCCCAAAAUUCCGUUUCUCGGACCAAAAAUCCGCUUCUCGGCCCCAAAAUCUGCUUCUCGGCCGCAAAAAUCUGUUUCUUGGCCCCAAAAUUCUGUUUCUCAGCCCAAAAUCCGUUUCUUGACCCAAAAACUGUUUCUCGGCCCCCAAAUCUGCUUCUCAGCCCCCAAAAGCCCAUUUCUCGGCCCAAAAAUCUGCUUCACAGCCCAAAAGUCACUUCUCAGCCCCAAAAUCUGUUUCUGGGCUCCAAAAUCUGUUUCUUGGCCCAAAAAUCUGCUUCUUGGCCCAAAAAUCCACUUCUUGGCCCAAAAAUCCACUUCUUGGCCCAAAAUCCAUUUUUUGGCCCAAAAAUCUGCUUUUCAGCCCAAAAGCCGUUUCUUGACCCAAAAAAUCUGUUUCUCGGCUCAAAAAUGCAUUUCUCAGCCCCAAAAACCCGUUUCUUGACCCAAAAAUUCUGUUUCCUGGCCCAAAAAUCCAUUUCCCAGCCAAAAGACCCGUUUCCCAGCCCCAAAAUCUGUUUCUCAGCCCAAAAAUCUGUUUCUUGGCCCAAAAAUCUGCUUCUUGGCCCCAAAUCCACUUCUCGGCCCAAAAAACUGGCUCUUGGCCCCAAAAAUGAGUCUUGGAACAGAAACGGAGCAAUUGGCCCCAAAACACCCAGUUCUCAGCCGCAAAAUGGCGCUUGGCCCAAAAAACCAGCUUCUCGGCCCAAAAUCCAUUCUUAGCCCAAAAGCAGCUCCUGGCCCCAGAAACAGGUUUUGGCCCCAAAAAACCUUUUUUGGCUCAAAAUUGGCUCUUGGCCCCAAAACCACGUUUUGGCCCCAAAACGGCUCUUGGCCCAAAGACCAAAUUUUCAGCCCCAAAAAAUGGCUCUCGACCCAAAAAAUGGCCCAAAAAGCGAAUUCUUGGCCCCAAACUGGCCCAAAAUCGUAGCGAUUGGCCCCAAAAAUGGCACACAGCACGGAAAGCAGCUCUUGGCCCCAAAUCCACUUCUUUUCACCCCAAAAUGGCCCCAGGCACA